rnacentral:lncRNA from 1 species
GAGCAGAAGUUUCUUGUAGCAGUGUUUCUUAACCAUACUUUGUUUACUCCACCACAACGCCUUCCUUUGCACAAUCCACAUUAUAUGCAAGAAAUUUCCCUAAAGUCGUUUUCCUUUCUUUUUCCAGAGUCCUUUGUCGCUAAGUCGGUGCUAUUAAAGUUAUACUCCUGAAUGCGCAUUGUAAUUUAACGAAACGAGGAGACUGAUGUUCUUUGAGAAGUAUUCUCGAUUUGUGGCAACCAGCAGGGCGAGGUCUGACACAUCAUUUGAUGUUGCUGUUCUUCCACGACUAAGAAACAUUAAGUAUGACCGACUCUUCAAAAACUGAUCGCUGUAGAGGCUUACUUGAUGCACUUUCCAUUUCUUAGCAGGUAAUGCCAGAUUGCUUUGAAAGAGCAGAACUUUCUUGUAGCAGUGCUUCUCAGCCUUACUUUGUUCACUCCACAACAACGUCUUGCUUUGCACAAUCGACAUUAUCUGCAAGAAGUUUCUGGUAAGUCGUCUUCCUUUCUUUCUCCAAAGUCCUCUGUCGCUAAGUCGGUGCUAUUACAGGUAUCCUCCAAGACACGCCUUCUAACUUACGGAACCGAGGAGGCUGAUGUUCUUUG